GACGAACGCUGGCGGCGUGCCUAACACAUGCAAGUCGAACGGACGAGGGGAGCUUGCUCCCUGAGUUAGUGGCGAACGGGUGAGUAACGCGUGAGAAACCUGCCUCUCAGUGGGGGACAACAGUUGGAAACGACUGCUAAUACCGCAUAAUGUAGCGAGACCGCAUGGUCAUGCUACCAAAGCUUUAUGUGCUGAGAGAUGGCCUCGCGUCUGAUUAGCUAGUUGGCGGGGUAACGGCCCACCAAGGCGACGAUCAGUAGCCGGACUGAGAGGUUGAACGGCCACAUUGGGACUGAGAUACGGCCCAGACUCCUACGGGAGGCAGCAGUGGGGAAUAUUGGGCAAUGGGGGAAACCCUGACCCAGCAACGCCGCGUGAAGGAAGAAGGCCUUCGGGUUGUAAACUUCUUUUAGCAGGGACGAAGAACGUGACGGUACCUGCAGAAAAAGCAACGGCUAACUACGUG
rnacentral:rRNA from 1 species